AUCGAUUUCGUGAUAAUCUUCUCUAGCAUCGAGUCGGGUUCAUCUCGUGGAUACACUAUUCUUGUGGUUUCAUCAUUUUUUGGGGGAGUUUCAUCUAUUUUUUUGCGUUUUGUUGCUGAAAUCCGGUUGUGGUAUUUAUCGGUUUUUGGUCGUGUUAUUUUGGAAUUUGGGUGCUUUGGGUGCUGUUAGUUUCAAUCAUUCGUGAUCAAUUUCUGAGAUUUUCGAUUUCUCUAUACGGAGCUUGGAUUUAGUCGCUGUUGAGGUU
rnacentral:lncRNA from 1 species